rnacentral:tRNA from 1 species
GGGCGUGCGGCUCAGUUGGUAGAGCGUUCGCUUAGCAUAUCCUCCUCUGGAAUAUGCGAAAGGUCCUGGGUUCGAUUCCCAGCUCGUCCA